CUGAUGUUUAGGGGGUAAUUACCCCUGGUAGUACCAAAAAGGCGGUUUCUUCGGGAAUUGCGGCGAGCCUAGGCGGCGGCAGCGGCUGCAGCGGCAACGACGGGGAGGAGCGGCGAGCAAGAGCACCGACGCAUCCCUAGUCCGCGUCUGCCGACAGUUCGGGGAGGCGAGCCAGUGACGCCACGCCACCGUGGGCUGCGGCGGAGGCAGCGGCUCUGUUACUGGAGGGGAUUUGGUGGCCGGCCUGCACCCUCUGUGCGUCGACGAACUCCACUCCACUCCAGAGUGAGGCAGCGAUCUGGAGAAUUUAUUUUCGGAGGUCUCUCCAUCCAGAUCCCCCUGCAGCUCUCCAACGUCCUGUUCAGGUUUAACCAAUUUAAUUCCCCCAAUACUUGUAUGGAUGGCACGGUUAAUUCUUGCUUGGCUUUCCUCUUUUUCUGUUUCAAGUGCGCGGGAUGGCACCAAUGUGGUAUGUAAAUGUGCUGACUCUGAAUCUUAGUAUGCCUUCAAGGUGUUUGAUGAAAUCUCUAACAUGAACAUAUGUGAAUAAAGUGUGUACGUAUCUCCUCUAAUCAUUGAUUUCUCCAACAGUACUAAAUGUAAAUCAUGUGCUAUGUUUUACUGAGAUCGUAUGAUUUUAUCUCCAUGGAGGAUCAUCUGAUUCUUCAUUAUUUCAGUUUAUUUUGAGAUAUAUGGAGACAAGUUGGUGUCAUGGAGCAAUUACAAAGAGGAUGACAGGAAUUGAGGAGAUGGCUGGCAUGGAUGUUCCGUGUAGUGACAAGACACGGACAGUAACCUUGAACAAGUUGGCUGUGGACAAGAAUCUUAUAGAGUUUUUCCAAAGGGGCAUUGAUCAGGACACUGUAUACUAAUGGCCGCCAGAGCUUCGUGUAUAGAUAAUCAGCUUGAGAUAGAUGCCACGAUGAUUGGUGUGCUUGCUGACCCCAAGUGAAACUCAUUUGGAAGAUGGAGUGUACCCUGCUUGCCAAGAUCAUGUUGGUGAUGAGGCAAUGGAGGUCAGAUCUGUUGACUUCUUACUACCUGGCCUAAUGUACCAUGGCAAUAAUCUUACCUCUUGGUUGCUGAACUGACAGCUCUGCUUGGUACCAUGUGGUGGCCAUUUGAAAUAAAAUAAAGGGGCACCAUAAAACUGCCAAUCUACCACAGCGCUUGCUUUCGCGAGAUCCUUAUGUGAACCGAGGGCCAGUGGCAUUAUGUUAGAUGGUAACAAGUCGAAUGGAGUAUGGCUAACUGUUAAUCGUCUACCUUCUGUACAAAGAAUUUGUAUUUUAUGUUGGCACUUAGAAUUCUUACGUUGACCUGGAGUUUGUAUUUAUUGGCAUUGAGAAUUCUUAUGGGUAUUUUGUGUCUAAUUAGGGUACAGCUGCUUUUAACAUCGAUUUUCUAUUUUAUAUUGUACCAAGAUUUCUUACUUCAGUGAUUGGCUAAUUGUUUUUUUUAA